GUGAUGUUUGGGUUAAAUGGGGGAUUUUUGAAAAGAAAAGGGGUGAUUUUCACUUAAAUGUCGGAUUUUCGAAGAGAAAAUGGGUGAUUUUGGGGUUAAAUGGGGGAUUUUUGAAGAGAGAACGGGUGAUUUUUGCUUAAACGCGUUAUUUUUUAGCUAAAUGUUGGAUUUUCGAAGAGAAAAUGCAUGAUUUACCCUUAAAUGGCAGAUUUUCAGAAAUAAAAUGCAUGAUAUACCCUUAAAUGGGGGAUUUUCAAAGAGAAAAUGUUUGAUUUUCGCUUAAGUGCAUAGUUAUUUAGUUCAAUGGAGGAUUUUUGAGGAGAAAAUGCAUGAUUUACCCUUAAAUGGGGGGUUUUUGAGGAGAAAAUGUGUGAUUUUCCAAAUAAUUGGUGAUUUUUGAAGGGAAAAUGGGUGAUUUUCGGGUUAAAUGGGGGAUUUUCGAAGAGAAAACAAGUGAUUUUCGCUUAAAUGUGUGAUUUUUUGGGAUAAUUGGGGGAUUUUCGAAGAGAUAAUGCAUGAUUUACCCUUAAAUGGGGGAUUUUCGAGGAGAAAAUGCGUGAUUUUGGGGUAAAAAGGGGGAUUUUCGAGGAGAAAAGGGGUGAUUUUUGGGUUAAAUGGGGGAUUUUUGAAAAGAAAAGGGGUGAUUUUCACUUAAAUGUCGGAUUUUCGAAGAGAAAAUGGGUGAUUUUGGGGUAAAAUGGCGGAUUUUCGAAGAGAAAAUGCGUGAUUUUUGCUUAAAUGCAUGAUUUUUUUGUUACAUGGGGGAUUUUUGAGGAGAAAAUGCAUGAUUUACCCUUAAAUGGGGGGUUUUUGAGGAGAAAAUGCGUGAUUUUCCAAAUAAUUGGGGAUUUUUGAAGGGAAAAUGGGUGAUUUUCGGAUUAAAUGUGGGAAUUUUGAAGAGAAAAUGGGUGAUUUUGGGGUUAAAUGGGAGAUUUUCAAAGAGAAAACGGGUGAUUUUUGCUUAAAUGCGUGAUUUUUUAGCUAAAUGUUGGAUUUUCGGAGAGAAAAUGCAUGAUUUACCCUUAAAUGGGGGAUUUUCGAGGAGAAAAUGUGUGAUUUGGGGGUAAAAUGGGAGGUUUUCGAAGAGAAAAUGCGUGAUUUUCGGCUUAAAUGUAUGAUCUUUUUUGUUAAAUGUGGGAUUUUUGAGGAGAAAAUGCAUGAUUUACCCUUAAAUGGGGGGUUUUUGAGGAGCAAAUGUGUGAUUGUCCAAAUAAUUGGAGAUUUUUGAAGGGGAAAUGGGUGAUUUUCGGGUUAAAUGUGGGAAUUUUGAAGAGAAAAUGGGUGAUUUUCUAGUUAAAUGGUGGAUUUUUGAAGAGAGAACGGGUGAUUUUCGCUUAAACGCGUGAUUUUUUAGCUAAAUGUUGGAUUUUCGAAGAGAAAAUGCAUGAUUUACCCUUAAAUGGGGGAUUUUCGAGGAGAAAAUGUGUGAUUUUGGGGUAAAAUGGGAGGUUUUCGAAGAGAAAAUGCGUGAUUUUCGGCUUAAAUGUAUGAUCUUUUUUGUUAAAUGUGGGAUUUUUGAGGAGAAAAUGCAUGAUUUACCCUUAAAUGGGGGGUUUUUGAGGAGCAAAUGUGUGAUUGUCCAAAUAAUUGGAGAUUUUUGAAGGGGAAAUGGGUGAUUUUCGGGUUAAAUGUGGGAAUUUUGAAGAGAAAAUGGGUGAUUUUCUAGUUAAAUGGUGGAUUUUUGAAGAGAGAACGGGUGAUUUUCGCUUAAACGCGUGAUUUUUUAGCUAAAUGUUGGAUUUUCGAAGAGAAAAUGCAUGAUUUACCCUUAAAUGGGGGAUUUUCGAGGAGAAAAUGUGUGAUUUUGGGGUAAAAUGGGAGAUUUUUGAAGAGAAAACAGGUGAUUUUCGCUUAAAUGCGUGACUUUUUAGCUAAAUGUUGGAUUUUCGAAGAGAAAAUUCAUGAUUUACCCUUAAAUGGGGGAUUUUCGAGGAGAAAAUGCGUGAUUUUGGGGUAAAAUGGGAGAUUUUCGAAGAGAAACGGGGUGAUUUUCACUUAAAUGGGGGGUUUUUGAAGAGAAAAGGGGUGAUUUUUGCUUAAAUGGGGCAUUUUCGGCGGGAAAAUGGGUGAUUUUCGAGUUAAAUCUGGGAUUUUUGAAGGGAAAAUGGGUGAUUUUCCCUUAAAUGGGGGGUUUUUGAGGAGAAAAUGUGUGAUUUUCCAAAUAAUUGGGGAUUUUUGAAGGGAAAAUGGGUGAUUUUCGAGUUAAAUCUGGGAUUUUUGAAGGGAAAAUGGGUGAUUGUCGGGUUAAAUGGGGGAUUUUCGAAGAGAAAACAGGUGAUUUUCGCUUAAAUGCGUGACUUUUUAGCUAAAUGUUGGAUUUUCGAAGAGAAAAUUCAUGAUUUACCCUUAAAUGGGGGAUUUUCGAGGAGAAAAUGCGUGAUUUUGGGGUAAAAUGGGAAGUUUUCGAAGAGAAACGGGGUGAUUUUCACUUAAAUGGGGGAUUUUCGAAGAGAAAACGGGUGAUUUUCGCUUAAAUGCGUGAUUUUUUAGCUAAAUGUUGGAUUUUUGAAGAGAAAAUGCAUGAUUUACCCUUAAAUGGGGGAUUUUCGAGGAGAAAAUGCGUGAUAUUUGCUUAAAUGGGGCAUUUUCGAAGAGAAAAUGCGUGAUUUUUGCUUAAAUGCAUGAUUUUUUUGUUAAAUGGGGGAUUUUUGAGGAGAAAAUGCAUGAUUUACCCUUAAAUGGGGGAUUUUCAAGGAGAAAAUGCGUGAUUUUCCAAAUAAUUGGAGAUUUUUGAAGGGAAAAUGGGUGAUUUUCGGAUUAAAUGGGGGAAUUUUGAAGAGAAAAUGGGUGAUUUUCGGGUUAAAUGGGGGAUUUUUGAAGAGAAAACGGGUGAUUUUUGCUUACAUGUCUGAUUUUUUAGCUAAAUGUUGGAUUUUCGAAGAGAAAAUGCAUGAUUUACCCUUAAAUGGGGGGAUUUUCGUGGAGAAAAUGGGUGAUUUUUGGGUUAAAUGGGGCAUUUUUGAAGAGAAAAUGGGUGAUUUUCGAGAUAAAUCAAGGAUUUUUGAAGAGAAAAUGCAUGAUUUACCCUUAAAUGUUGGAUUUUCAAGGUGAAAGUGCGUGAUUUUCAAAAUAAAUGAGUGAUUUUUGAAGGGAAAAUGGUUGAUUUUUGGGUUAAAUGGGGGAUUUUGAAGAGAAAAUGGGUGAUUUUCGGGUUAAAUGGGGGAUUUUCGAAGAGAAAGUGGGUGAUUAUCGAGAUAAAUCAAGGAUUUUUGAAAAGAACAUGCAUGAUUUACCCUUAAAUGGGGGAUUUUCUAGGAGAAAAUGCGUGAUUUUCAACAUAAAUGCACGAUUUUUGAAGGGAAAAUUGGCGAUUUUUGGUUUUAAUUGGGGAGUUUUGAAGAGAAAAAGGGCGAUUUUCAUUUAAAUGGGCGAUUUUCGAAGAGUAGAUUUGUGAUUUUCGUUUAAAUGGGGGAUUUUCAAAGGGAAAAUGCAUGAUUUACGGGUUAAAUUGGGGAUUUUUGAAGAGAUAAUUCGUGAUUUAAAUUUAAAUGGGGGAUUUCCGAAGAGAAAAUGCCAGAUUUUUGAGUUAAAUGGGGGGAUUUUCCAAGCGAAAAUUUGUGUUUUUCACGUUAAAUUGGGGAUUUUGGGAUUUAAAAUGUGUGAUUUUCGCUUUAAGUGGGUGAUUAAGUGGGUGAUAAGGAGAAAAAUGGUCAUUUUUGGGUUAAAUGGGGAAUUUUUGAAGAGAAAAUCGGCAAUUUUCGCUUAAAUAGGGGAUUUUCAAAGCGCAAAUGUGUGUCUUUCAGAAUAAAUUUGGGAUUUUCAAAUCAAAAAUGGAUGGUUUUCCCUUAAAUUUGGAUUUUCAAAGGGAAAAUGCAUGAUUUUCGGGUUAUAUGGGGGAUUUUCGAAGACAAAAUACGUGUUUUUCGGGUUAAAUGGGUAUUUUCGAAGAGAAAAUGUGUGAUUUUCGGGUUAAAUGGGAGAUUUUUGAAGAGAGAAGGAGUGAUUUUUGGGUUAAUUGUGGGAUUUUUGAAGAGGAAAUUCAUGACUUUCGGAUUAAAUGGGGUAUUUUCAAAGGGAAAAUGCAUGAUUUCCCGUUUAAAUGUUGGAUUUUCAAAGAGAAAUUGGGUGAUUUUCGGGUUAAAUUGGGGAUUUUCAAAGGGAAAAUGCAUUUUUUUUCGGGUUAAAUGGGGCUUUUACGUAGAGAAAAUGCAUGUUUUUCAAGUUAAAUGGGGGAUUGUCGAAGAGAAGAUUUGUUUUUUUUUAGGGGGGUUAAAUAAGGGAUUUUUGUAGAGAAAAUUCUUGAUUUGGGGGUUGAAUGAGGGAUUUUCGAAGAGAAAAUGCGUGAAUUUCAGGUUAGAUGUGGGAUUUUCAAAGAAAAUAUGCGUCAUUUUCAGGUUAAAUGGGGGAUUGUCGAAGAGAAAAUUUACUAUUUUCAGUUAAAUGUUUUUUUUUUUUUUUUUUUUUUGUAGAGAACAUGCAUAGUUUUCAAUGUUAAAUGGGGGUUUUUCGAAGACGAAAAAAGGAAAGAUGAUAUUUUCAGGUUAAAGUGCAAAUUUUUUGAAGAGGAAUUUCAUGAUUUUCUUGUGAAAUGGGGGAUUUUUGACAGUACAUGUUUC
ensembl:lncRNA